GUUGUUGGGUAGGGGAGCGUUCUGUAAGCCUGUGAAGGUGUGCUGUGAGGCAUGCUGGAGGUAUCAGAAGUGCGAAUGCUGACAUAAGUAACGAUAAAGCGGGUGAAAAGCCCGCUCGCCGGAAGACCAAGGGUUCCUGUCCAACGUUAAUCGGGGCAGGGUGAGUCGACCCCUAAGGCGAGGCCGAAAGGCGUAGUCGAUGGGAAACAGGUUAAUAUUCCUGUACUUGGUGUUACUGCGAAGGGGGGACGGAGAAGGCUAUGUUGGCCGGGCGACGGUUGUCCCGGUUUAAGCGUGUAGGCUGGUUUUCCAGGCAAAUCCGGAAAACCAAGGCUGAGGCGUGAUGACGAGGCACUACGGUGCUGAAGCGACAAAUGCCCUGCUUCCAGGAAAAGCCUCUAAGCAUCAGGUAACAUCAAAUCGUACCCCAAACCGACACAGGUGGUCAGGUAGAGAAUACCAAGGCGCUUGAGAGAACUCGGGUGAAGGAACUAGGCAAAAUGGUGCCGUAACUUCGGGAGAAGGCACGCUGAUAUGUAGGUGAAGCGACUUGCUCGUGGAGCUGAAAUCAGUCGAAGAUACCAGCUGGCUGCAACUGUUUAUUAAAAACACAGCACUGUGCAAACACGAAAGUGGACGUAUACGGUGUGACGCCUGCCCGGUGCCGGAAGGUUAAUUGAUGGGGUUAGCGGCAACGCGAAGCUCUUGAUCGAAGCCCCGGUAAACGGCGGCCGUAACUAUAACGGUCCUAAGGUAGCGAAAUUCCUUGUCGGGUAAGUUCCGACCUGCACGAAUGGCGUAAUGAUGGCCAGGCUGUCUCCACCCGAGACUCAGUGAAAUUGAACUCGCUGUGAAGAUGCAGUGUACCCGCGGCAAGACGGAAAGACCCCGUGAACCUUUACUAUAGCUUGACACUGAACAUUGAGCCUUGAUGUGUAGGAUAGGUGGGAGGCUUUGAAGUGUGGACGCCAGUCUGCAUGGAGCCGACCUUGAAAUACCACCCUUUAAUGUUUGAUGUUCUAACGUUGGCCCCUAAUCGGGGUUGCGGACAGUGUCUGGUGGGUAGUUUGACUGGGGCGGUCUCCUCCUAAAGAGUAACGGAGGAGCACGAAGGUUGGCUAAUCCUGGUCGGACAUCAGGAGGUUAGUGCAAUGGCAUAAGCCAGCUUGACUGCGAGCGUGACGGCGCGAGCAGGUGCGAAAGCAGGUCAUAGUGAUCCGGUGGUUCUGAAUGGAAGGGCCAUCGCUCAACGGAUAAAAGGUACUCCGGGGAUAACAGGCUGAUACCGCCCAAGAGUUCAUAUCGACGGCGGUGUUUGGCACCUCGAUGUCGGCUCAUCACAUCCUGGGGCUGAAGUAGGUCCCAAGGGUAUGGCUGUUCGCCAUUUAAAGUGGUACGCGAGCUGGGUUUAGAACGUCGUGAGACAGUUCGGUCCCUAUCUGCCGUGGGCGCUGGAGAACUGAGGGGGGCUGCUCCUAGUACGAGAGGACCGGAGUGGACGCAUCACUGGUGUUCGGGUUGUCAUGCCAAUGGCACUGCCCGGUAGCUAAAUGCGGAAGAGAUAAGUGCUGAAAGCAUCUAAGCACGAAACUUGCCCCGAGAUGAGUUCUCCCUGAGACUUAGAGUCUCCUGAAGGAACGUUGAAGACGACGACGUUGAUAGGCCGGGUGUGUAAGCGCAGCGAUGCGUUGAGCUAACCGGUACUAAUGAACCGUGAGGCUUAACCUU
rnacentral:rRNA from 1 species